rnacentral:rRNA from 1 species
AAACUUCUUUUCCUAGAGUGGCGAGGGUGAAUAUGUCUGGAAACUGCCUGAUGGAGGGGGAUAACUACUGGAAACGGUAGCUAAUACCGCAUAACGUCCAAGACCAAAGAGGGGGACCUUGGGCCUCUUGCCAUCGGAUGUGCCCAGAUGGGAUUAGCUAGUAGGUGGGGUAACGGCUCACCUAGGCACGAUCCCUAGCUGGUCUGAAGGAUGACCAGCCACACUGGAACUGAGACACGGUCCAGACUCCUACGGGAGGCAGCAGUGGGGAAUAUUGCACAAUGGGCGCAAGCCUGAUGCAGCCAUGCCGCGUGUAUGAAGAAGGCCUUCGGGUUGUAAAGUACUUUCAGCGGGGAGGAAGGGAGUAAAGUUAAUACCUUUGCUCAUUGACGUUACCCGCAGAAGAAGCACCGCUAACUCCGUGCCAGCAGCCGCGGUAAUACGGAGGGUGCAAGCGUUAAUCGGAAUUACUGGGCGUAAAGCGCACGCAGGCGGUUUGUUAAGUCAGAUGUGAAAUCCCCGGGCUCAACCUGGGAACUGCAUCUGAUACUGGCAAGCUUGAGUCUCGUAGAGGGGGGUAGAAUUCCAGGUGUAGCGGUGAAAUGCGUAGAGAUCUGGAGGAAUACCGGUGGCGAAGGCGGCCCCCUGGACGAAAACUGACGCUCAGGUGCGAAAGCGUGGGGAGCAAACAGGAUUAGAUACCUGGUAGUCCAA